rnacentral:rRNA from 1 species
AUUGAACGCUGGCGGCAGGCCUAACACAUGCAAGUCGAGCGAGCGGCGGACGGGUGAGUAAUGUCUGGGAAACUGCCUGAUGGAGGGGGAUAACUACUGGAAACGGUAGCUAAUACCGCAUACCAUCAGAUGUGCCCAUAUGGGAUUAGCUGGUAGGUGGGGUAAGGGCUCACCUAGGCGACGAUCCCUAGCUGGUCUGAGAGGAUGACCAGCAACACUGUGACUGGGAAACGGCCCAGACUCCUACGGGAGGCAGCAGUGGGGAAUAUUGCACAAUGGGCGCAAGCCUGAUGCAGCCAUGCCGCGUGUGUGAAGAAGGCCUUCGGGUUGUAAAGCACUUUCAGCGGGGAGGCGUUACCCACAGAAGAAGCACCGGCUAACUCCGUGCCAGCAGCCGCGGUAAUUC